rnacentral:rRNA from 1 species
ACCAAGGAGUUUAUCGUGUACGCAAGUCAUUGGGUGAAUAAAACCCAAUGGCGAAAUGAAAGUAAAGAGAUUUUGUUUAUAAAAUUAGAUUUAUCUAGUUUUAUUUUUAUUCUCUUAAGGGAAGAUACAAAUUUAAUUUAUAAUAUUUAUUAAUAUUGUUUAUAUAAAUUUGUAGCACUCCCAGGGCGCUUGUUUCACGCUUUGCGUGGCGAUGCGCACCCAGAGCGUACACGCUGAUACCCGAAAGAUGGUGAACUAUGCCUGGCCAGGACGAAGCCAGGGGAAACCCUGGUGGAGGUCCGUAGCGAUUCUGACGUGCAAAUCGAUCGUCGGAGCUGGGUAUAGGGGCGAAAGACCAAUCGAACCAUCUAGUAGCUGGUUCCCUCUGAAGUUUCCCUCAGGAUAGCUUGCGCUCGGUUGAGACGAGUCUCAUCCGGUAGAGCGAAUGAUUAGAGGCAUUGGGGUCGAAACGACCUCAACCUAUUCUCAAACUCCAAAUAGAUGAGAACCCCGGCUUUCUUAAAAUUGAAGCCGUGGGAUUCGGAUCAGAGUGCCAAGUGGGCCAAUUUUGGU